rnacentral:rRNA from 1 species
UAAGUUGGAUGGUCAAAAGGGAAAGAGCCCAGACCUACAGCUAAGGUCCCAAAGUGCGUGUUAAGUGGAAAAGGAUGUGGGGAUUCUAAGACAACUAGGACGUUGGCUUAGAAGCAGCCAUUCAUUGAAAGAGUGCGUAAUAGCUCACUAGUCGAGAGUCCCUGCGCCGAAAAUGUCCGGGGCUGAAACACGACACCGAAGCUUAGGAAUGUGUAAACAUUGGUAGAGGAGCAUUGCUAGCGGGAUGAAGCCAUACCGUAAGGAGUGGUGGACUGCUAGGAAGAGAGAAUGCCGGAAUGAGUAGCGAGAUGAAGGUGAGAAUCCUUCAGGCCGAAUAUCUAAGGUUUCCAGAGUAAAGCUGAUCUGCUCUGGGUAAGUCGGGACCUAAGGCGAGGUCGAAAGACGUAGUCGAUGGAUAACAGGUUGAAAUUCCUGUACCGCAUAUAAACAGAACUGUGGGGACACAGACAGGGAAUGGAAUCCGGGAAUGGAAAUCCCGGUGCAAGCGAGGUAGGAGUGCUGUUGGCAAAUCCGCAGCACGAUCUGAAGACGUGACGCGUACCGAACAUAAGUAGGGAAGUCCAGGCCCCUGGCUGUCAAGAAAAGCCGCUAUUGUUUUAUAUGUGCCCGUACCGCAAACCGACACAGGUGGAUGAGGAGAGAAUCCUAAGGCCGACGGGAGAAGUAUUGUUAAGGAACUCGGCAAAAUGACUCCGUAACUUCGGGAGAAGGAGUGCCAUGAGAGUGGCCGCAGAGAAAUGGCCCAAGCAACUGUUUAGCAAAAACACAGGUCUAUGCAAAACCGCAAGGUGAAGUAUAUGGGCUGACGCCUGCCCGGUGCUGGAAGGUUAAGGGGAGAGGUUAGCGCAAGCGAAGCUUUGAACUUAAGCCCCAGUAAACGGCGGCCGUAACUAUAACGGUCCUAAGGUAGCGAAAUUCCUUGUCGGGUAAGUUCCGACCCGCACGAAAGGCGUAAUGAUUUGGGCACUGUCUCAACGAUACACCCGGUGAAAUUGAAAUACCAGUGAAGAUGCUGGUUACCUGCGCCAGGACGGAAAGACCCCAUGGAGCUUUACUCCAGUUUGAUACUGGGAUUCGGCAUGGUAUGUACAGGAUAGGUGGGAGACUGAGAAGGUAUGACGUCAGUUGUACCGGAGUCGCUGUUGGGAUACCACCCUUACCAUGUUGGAUUUCUAACCUGUGGCCGUAAGCCGGUCAGGGGACAAUGUCAGGCGGGGAGUUUGACUGGGGCGGUCGCCUCCGAAAGGGUAUCGGAGGCGCUCAAAGGUUCCCUCAGAAUGGUUGGAAACCAUUCGAAGAGUGCAAAGGCAGAAGGGAGCUUGACUGCGACACCGACGG